CUGCUGCCUCCCGUAGGAGUCUGGUCCGUGUCUCAGUACCAGUGUGGGGGCCUUCCUCUCAGAACCCCUACGCAUCGUCGCCUCGGUGGGCCGUUACCCCGCCGACUAGCUAAUGCGCCGCAUGCCCAUCCGUGGCCGGGAUUGCUCCCUUUGGCGGCCUUGGGAUGUCCCUAGGCCGCGUUACGCGGUAUUAGACGGGGUUUCCCCCGCUUAUCCCCCUGCCACGGGCAGGUUGCAUACGUGUUACUCACCCGUGCGCCGGUCGCCGGCAACGG
rnacentral:rRNA from 1 species